GACGAACGCUGGCGGCGUGCCUAAUACAUGCAAGUCGAACGCAGUGGGGACGGGUGAGUAACACGUGGGUAACCGCCCAUCAGAGGGGAUAACACUUGGAAACAGGGGCUAAACCGAUACUGAAGGCUGGACCCGGGGUGCAUUAGCUAGUUGGUGAGGUAACGGCCCCCCAAUGCCACGAUGCAUAGCCGACCUGAGAGGGUGAUCGGCCACCCUGGGACUUGGACACCGCCCCGCCGCCUACGGGAGGCCGCAGUCGGGAAUUUUCUGCACUUGACGAAAGUCUGACCGAUCAACGCCGCGUGAGUGUAGCCGGUUUUCGGAUCUCAACACCCUGUUGUUCGAUCAGCGGUAUCUCACCGGACAGCCACGGCUAACUCCGUGCCAGCCGCCGCGGUAAUAC
rnacentral:rRNA from 1 species